UAAUACAGAGGGUGCAAGCGUUGCUCGGAAUUAUUGGGCGUAAAGGGCAAGUAGGUGGUCUCAUUUGUCUGGGGUGAAAGCCUUGAGCUUAACUCAAGAAGUGCCCCGGAAACGGUGAGACUCGAGUACUGGAGAGGGUCGUGGAAUUCCCGGUGUAGCGGUGAAAUGCGUAGAGAUCGGGAGGAACACCAGAGGCGAAGGCGGCGACCUGGACAGUAACUGACACUCAACUGCGAAAGCGUGGGGAGCAAACAGG
rnacentral:rRNA from 1 species